rnacentral:rRNA from 1 species
AGAACGAACGCUGGCGGCAGGCCUCAAACAUGCAAGUCUAGGGGGCGUAGCAAUACGUCACCGGCGGACGGGUGCGUAACACGUGGGAAUGUACUUACUGGUUCGGAACAACUCAGGGAAACUUGAGCUAAUACCGAAUAUGCCCGAAAGGGGAAAGAUUUAUCGCCAGUAAAUCAGCCCGCGUCCGAUUAGCUAGUUGGCGGGGUAAAGGCCCACCAAGGCGACGAUCGGUAGCUGUUCUGAGAGGAAGAUCAGCCACACUGGGACUGAGACACGGCCCCAGACUCCUACGGGAGGCAGCAGUUGGGAAUCUUGGACAAUGGGGGAAACCCUGAUCCAGCCAUGCCGCGUGAGUGAUGAAGGCCUUCGGGUUGUAAAACUCUUUCGACGGGGACGAUAAUGACGGUACCGUAGAAGAAGCUCCGGCUAACUUCGUGCCAGCAGCCGC